CCCCUAGUAACUGCGAGUGAAGCGGGAAGAGCUCAAAUUUAAAAUCUGGCAGUCUUCUGGCUGUCCGAGUUGUAAUCUGGAGAAGCGUUUUCUGUGUUGGACCGUGUACAAGUCUCCUGGAACGGAGCGUCAUAGAGGGUGAGAAUCCCGUCCAUGGCACGGACUACCAAUACUUUGUGAUACGCUCUCGAAGAGUCGAGUUGUUUGGGAAUGCAGCUCAAAAUGGGUGGUAAAUUCCAUCUAAAGCUAAAUACAGGCGAGAGACCGAUAGCAAACAAGUACCGUGAGGGAAAGAUGAAAAGCACUUUGAAAAGAGAGUUAAACAGUACGUGAAAUUGUUGAAAGGGAAACGCUUGAAGUCAGUCGCGUUGUGCAGAACUCAGCCUUGCCUCGGCUUGGUGUACUUUCUGCAGAACGGGUCAACAUCAAUUUUGACCCAUGGAAAAAGGUGUGGGGAAUGUAGCAUUGCUUUGGCAGUGUGUUAUAGCCCCUCUGCUGUAUACAUGGGUUGGGAUUGAGGAACGCAGCACGCCCUUGUGGCCGGGGGUUCGCCUCACGUCACUGUGCUUAGGAUGUUGGCAGAAUGGCUUUAAGCGACCCGUCUUGAAACACGGACCAAGGAGUCUAACAUGCUUGCGAGUGUUCGGGUGGAAAACCCUUGUGCGUAAUGAAAGUGAAAGUUGGGACCCUCCGCAAGGGGGAGCACCGACGCCCGGCCCUGACGUUCUCUGACGGUGCUGCGGUAGAGCAAGUAUGCUGGGACCCGAAAGAUGGUGAACUAUGCCUGAAUAGGGCGAAGCCAGAGGAAACUCUGGUGGAGGCUCGUAGCGAUUCUGACGUGCAAAUCGAUCGUCAAAUUUGGG
rnacentral:rRNA from 1 species